UACGAAGGGGGCUAGCGUUGUUCGGAUUUACUGGGCGUAAAGCGCGCGUAGGCGGUUCGUUAAGUCGGGGGUGAAAUCCUGGAGCUCAACUCCAGAACUGCCUUCGAUACUGGCGAUCUCGAGUCCGGAAGAGGUGAGUGGAACUCCUAGUGUAGAGGUGGAAUUCGUAGAUAUUAGGAAGAACACCAGUGGCGAAGGCGGCUCACUGGUCCGGUACUGACGCUGAUGUGCGAAAGCGUGGGGAGCAAACAGG
rnacentral:rRNA from 1 species